UCUAGUAUUGCAGAAUGAUUUCCCUAGCCUCUUUGCUAUCACUUGACACUUGAGCUUUCUUCCCUUACAAAUGUGCUGAGUUGACCCUGGUUCUGAAACAGAUUUCAAAGACAUCACCCGUCUUCAUUGGUGGAGGAAUUCCUCACAAGGAGUGCCCUACCCUAAUGAAAUCAUCAGUGAGAUGCCAAAAUUUUGAUGGCAACAAGAGCAGUCACCUCUGGGUAUUCUUGCUACAUCGCCCUUCCUUUCUGGUGGCCUAGGAAAGUGGCAAUCCUUGGCUGGACUCCAAGCUUCUUAUCAU